rnacentral:rRNA from 1 species
UGGGGAAUUUUGGACAAUGGGCGAAAGCCUGAUCCAGCAAUGCCGCGUGUGUGAAGAAGGUUUUCGGAUCGUAAAACUCUGUCUUUUGGGGCGAACGUGAGUAUGGUGAACAAUCAUAGUCAGUGACGGUACCAAAGGAGGAAGCCACGGCUAACUACGUGCCAGCAGCCGCGGUAAUACGUAGGUGGCAAGCGUUGUCCGGAAUUAUUGGGCGUAAAGAGCGCGUAGGCGGGAUAGUCAGUCUGUUGUAAAGUGCGGGGCUCAACCCCGUGAUGGCAAUGGAAACAGCUAUUCUUGAGUGCAGGAGAGGAAAGUGGAAUUCCCAGUGUAGCGGUGAAAUGCGUAGAUAUUGGGAGGAACACCAGUGGCGAAGGCGACUUUCUGGACUGUGUCUGACGCUGAGGCGCGAAAGCCAGGGGAGCGAACGGGAUUAGAUACCCCGGUAGUCCUGGCCGUAAACGAUGGGUACUAGGUGUGGGAGGUAUCGACCCCUUCCGUGCCGGAGUUAACGCAAUAAGUACCCCGCCUGGGGAGUACGGUCGCAAGACUGAAACUU